GAGCUUGCUUCGGCAGCACAUAUUCUAAAAUGGGAACGAAACGGAGUUUAGCACGGUCCCUGAGCAGGGAUGACACGCAAAUCUGUGAAGCGUUCUGUAUUUUU